GUAUAGGACUACAUGCACUAUGCGAUGUGUAUGUAAUGUAUUUGAAUUCAGAGUAAAAAAGCCGUUGCAUCAAGUAUCAUCCUCCUGAAUACUCUCGUUUUCUCCUGCAAAUUUACAGUAUGGGCAUCCUUUUUUAACAUCUUUCGUCAAAGAAGUGGAUUCAAAGCACAUUGUGGCCUCAGUAUAUUGAUGUGAAACCAUGCAGAAAAUGCUACUCUCUCUCAACCUUGUGGAUGUUCCCUACUUCCCUAAGGAUCAGCAGCCUCUUGAAACAGUUGAAGCCAUUAUCGAAUUCCUUGCGUCUAUGUUUUCUGGAUCUGAAAGCAAAGCAUAAUGCCAGAGAUUCCACCCAAAAGCUAACCCAUGAGUCCAAGCUGAAGAGGAAUAUUUCCAAAUCGAUGGCUCCACUAAUCCGAUCGAAUUCCUUGCGUCUAUGUUCCCUGGAUCUGAAAGCAGUGCAUAAUGCCAGAGAUUCCACCCAAAAGCUAACCCAUGAGUCCAAGCUGAAGAGGAAUAUGUCCAAAAUUACAUGUAGAUCUACACUCACCCGAUAGUUAAACUGCUAGAAAAAAGGUUUUUUUUUCACUUCAUUAUAAUUUAUAGAGAGAGAUUGGGGGAGAGGUGAGGUGUAGCCACAAACCUGAAUGGCUAAGCUGUGGAACUGAAAUUCCCAUUCAUGUCACUUACAAUUUUAAUGAAUUACAGGGUGUACGAACUGACAUAAUAACAGUUUGAGUAAAA